rnacentral:rRNA from 1 species
AACGUAGGUACCGAGCGUUAUCCGGAUUUACUGGGCGUAAAGCGUGUUCAGGCGGCCUGGCAAGUCGGGCAUGAAAUCUCUCGGCUCAACCGGGAGAGGCUGUCCGAUACUGCUGGGCUUGAGGACGGUAGAGGGUGGUGGAAUUCCGCGUGUAGUGGUGAAAUGCGUAGAUAUGCGGAGGAACACCAGUGGCGAAGGCGGCCACCUGGACCGUCCCUGACGCUCAUGCACGAAAGCGUGGGGAGCAAACAGG